GCAGGCGCGCAAAUUACCUAAUCCCAAUACGGGGAGGUAGUGACAAUAAAUAACAAUACAGGGCUUUUACAAGUCCUGUAAUUGGAAUGAGUACAAUUUAAAUCCCUUAACGAGUAUCAAUUGGAGGGCAAGUCUGGUGCCAGCAGCCGCGGUAAUUCCAGCUCCAAUAGCGUAUAUUAAAGUUGUUGCAGUUAAAAAGCUCGUAGUUGGACUUUAGAGCGACGACGGUGGUCCGCCCUCGCGGGUGUGCACUGCCGUCGUCGUUCUCCACCUUCUGGGGACCGGCGCUGCUCUUCAUUGAGUGGUGUCCGGGACGCAGAACGUUUACUGUGAAAAAAUUAGAGUGUUUAUGGCAGGCCAGCGCCUUGAAUACAUUAGCAUGGAAUAAUAAAAUAGGACUUUGGUUCUAUUUUGUUGGUUUCUAGGACCGAAGUAAUGAUUAAUAGGGAUAGUUGGGGGCAUUAAUAUUUAAUUGUCAGAGGUGAAAUUCUUGGAUUUAUGAAAGAUUAACUUCUGCGAAAGCAUUUGCCAAGGAUGUUUUCAUUAAUCAAGAACGAAAGUUAGGGGAUCGAAGACGAUCAGAUACCGUCGUAGUCCUAACUAUAAACUUUGCCGACUCGGGAUUGGAGGAUGUUACUUUUACGACUCCUUCAGCACCGUAUGAGAAAUCAAAGU
rnacentral:rRNA from 1 species